GAUGAACGCUGACAGAAUGCUUAACACAUGCAAGUCAACUUGAACUUCGGUUUGGGUGGCGGACGGGUGAGUAACGCGUAAAGAACUUGCCUCACAGCUAGGGACAACAUUUGGAAACGAAUGCUAAUACCUGAUAUUAUGAUUAUAUGGCAUCGUAUAAUUAUGAAAGCUAUAUGCGCUGUGAGAGAGCUUUGCGUCCCAUUAGCUAGUUGGAGAGGUAACAGCUCACCAAGGCGAUGAUGGGUAGCCGGCCUGAGAGGGUGAUCGGCCACAAGGGGACUGAGACACGGCCCUUACUUCUACGGGAGGCAGCAGUGGGGAAUAUUGGACAAUGGACCGAGAGUCUGAUCCAGCAAUUCUGUGUGCACGAUGAAGUUUUUCGGAAUGUAAAGUGCUUUCAGUUGGGAAGAAAAAAAUGACGGUACCAACAGAAGAAGUGACGGCUAAAUACGUG
rnacentral:rRNA from 1 species